rnacentral:lncRNA from 1 species
UAGCUGAGAACCACACUGGUGGCCUGGGCCAUCCACAGGCAGGACCAUACUGGGGGUGGGACAGUGACUUCAGCAUCUCGGUACAGCCCAAAACAAGCAUUACAUCAGUGACACCCCACAGCCUUGUUUCCCUGACUGCAACUCAGCUCAGCUUUUGGAUACUGCAGGUAGGAACUUGGACAGAGUUUUUGUUUUCCCUGGUUGCACGUUUGUAAUGAAUGCACUUUAUGAAAGUGUUGUGGAUUCCAUGGGACUAGCAAAAUGUAAAUCACCGCAUGGACCGCAGAAGAUAAAUGUAUGAACUCCUAUUUAAACCUCCCACUUCUUUUUGGAUGCAAAUCUCUUUCCUAAGCAACAGAGAAAAGUGUGAUAUGUGUCAGAGUCUGGAGAUUAGAGAUCUGUUCUGUUCCCUCGUUUCAGAAGCUCUUGUCUUCGGCCACCCACGCAGUACUUGAGUUCUGCUCUCCGCAGGCCAAAGCUGCCUUCCUCUCCUCGGCAGCAUGUGCUCCACAGAAGAUGUCGAUCUCUCUCAGGAAGCAGCGAGAUGAAACGGCUCUCGAAGUGGAGGAGCUGAGGCAGUUCAGCAUGAGACACAGCACGUAGUUUGGGAGAGAGAAAAGGGGUAGGAGGCUGCUAUUUCCAGACCAUGCUGCCUCUCACCGCUAACUUUGUGGCAAGCUGCAGUUUUUACUGUUCCUGCUCCAAAGAAACUACUGGGAUUGCCAAGUCCCUCCACCACCUAAUUCUCUGCAUACAAAAGAUUGAAUAUCCUCUAAAUUACUACAAAGAACAAACCUACCAGAUGGCAGACUUCAUUGCUCAAGGGGAAUGCAGGCUGCUUCUCUUGGAGAAGCAUUUCAAUAUGGUUUCAAAAGAGAGAGUCAUUAGAUGUAUUCAUAUUUUCUUUAAUGGGGUGCUGUGAUGUAACUCAGGAAAGGUGUAAGAAGAAGAAAAUACAUUUUGUGAUCCAACAGAAGAAAUUAAUGGAGCUGCAUGAGAUGGCCUUUUACUAAUUUCUAGAGUCUUUCUAAGAAACAUGUUGACUGUGACCUUGAGCAUCUCUGCAAAACUUUUGAGAUGUAGUGUCUUGGUGCUAUGUAUGACUUUACAAACUCAGAGAAAGAUUUAAGAAAGUUACUAGCGUUCAAAGACUUCUUCUCCAGAUUUAAAACAAGGAUGUUACUGACAUAUAAUCAAUGCUCCUCAGGAAGAAACUGUUCUGCUUCAUUCUCUUUCCAUUUUUCCUAUGUCAGAAGCUGACAAGAUUAGUUGAUUAAAAGGACUUCUUUAAGAACAAAUGUUUGCAUCUCACUUAUUUUCCAAGUAUUUGGCUGAAUAAUUCAUCUGACACAUAGCUAAAUCAUUUAUCUUUGUAGAUUAUCUGAGAAGAGAUCACAAUAUUUAUGUAUAGACCUAUUGCUCAGACUUAUUUGCUAAAUAAUUUAUUGGAAUAAUCUGUGCUUUGUGUCUCAUUUGUGUCCAGUUCUUUGGGAGAUGUUGGUAUUCUGAUGAUGUGAUGUGUUUCUGUUCCCAAGUGGGUGAAUGUAUCUUUCUGGAAUUAUUUUGUGAUGUAAGUAUCUGUUAUUAU